GAUGAAGAACGUAGCGAAAUGCGAUAAGUAAUGUGAAUUGCAGAAUUCAGUGAAUCAUCGAAUCUUUGAACGCACAUUGCGCCCCCUGGUAUUCCGGGGGGCAUGCCUGUCCGAGCGUCAUUGCUGCCCUCAAGCACGGCUUGUGUGUUGGGCCUCCGUCCUCCUCCCGGGGGACGGGCCCGAAAGGCAGCGGCGGCACCGCGUCCGGUCCUCGAGCGUAUGGGGCUUCGUCACCCGCUCUUGUAGGCCCGGCCGGCGCUUGCCGACACAUCAAUCUUUUUUCCAGGUUGACCUCGGAUCAGGUAGGGAUACCCGCUGAACUUAAGCAUAUCAUAAGCGGAGGA
rnacentral:misc_RNA from 1 species